GGCCACACACACACACACACACACUCUAAACCAACACGUUUUUGACCUGACGGUGACAUCCAUUAAAGGAACUCUCAGAGUUAAAGCCUCCCUGGUUGAUCUUGACAUCCAUUUUACUUUUAGCUCAGAUGGCAGCCGAGUGAACAGAAUUCAACAACCUACUGUCAGAGAUCAUAAAAGCAAGCAAGUCUGGAGAUGAUUUAUGCCUGCAGUGAUAGCUGAAGCUUCUAUCUGCUUCGCUGUGCCCAUGUGGAGCUCUGUGUGCAUGCUCUCGGCUCUGCUUGCGUCCUGUUUAUCUUCCAGCAGAACCUGUUGCGAGCAGCUCACUAAUUGCCAUGGGACAGUGCCAAGCACUCCAGUGACAGAUGUUUCAGCUGGAUGGCAGCUAAUGAAGAUCGGCUGGAAAACAUCCAUUGGACUAUCCUCUGGAGGGCUCCCAUGAUUCAUUAUGCCUGCAUUUAUGCCAGAGGCCACUGGAUUCACAUUAUCAGCCAGCACAGAUCCCAGUAAAUUUGAAGGCUUUACCAUGCAAUGAGCUGAAGGCUCCUUAUUUAGAUGAUUAGUGUGUUAUUGACACAUUUUGUAUUCAGUGGAAGCCAUAUUGUCGUUUAAUUAGCCAGUCAUUGUUGUUAUUGGUUUUUCAGUUAAUACCCUUUGGCAGUUUAGCAUUUAAUGACAUUUAUCCAUGGCUGGAGGAAAUACAAAUGGUUUAAUUUCCAAACUGUUGUAGAAAACAAUGGCUAACUGGAAAUCUUUACU